CCAAUAGCGUAUCUUAAAGUUGUUGCAGUUAAAAAGCUCGUAGUUGAAUUUCGGGGUCAAUACGUCGGUCGUGCCUUCGGUACGUACUGGUGUUAUUGAUCUCUCCCUUUUGAUUAAUCAUGAUGUCAUUCAUUUGGUGUCGGGGGGAGUCAGGACUGUUACUUUGAAAAAAUUAGAGUGUUUAAAGCAGGCUCACGCUUGAAUACAUUAGCAUGGAAUAAUGAAAUAGGACGUUCGAUCCUAUUUUGUUGGUUUCUAGGAUCAACGUAAUGAUUAAUAGGGAUAGUUGGGGGCAUUAGUAUUCAAUUGUCAGAGGUGAAAUUCUUGGAUUUAUUGAAGACUAACUACUGCGAAAGCAUUUGCCAAGGAUGUUUUCAUUAAUCAAGAACGAAAGUUAGGGGAUCGAAGACGAUCAGAUACCGUCGUAGUCUUAACCAUAAACUAUGCCGACUAGGGAUCGGAUGAUGUUAAUUUUUUAAUGACUCAUUCGGCGCCUUACG
rnacentral:rRNA from 1 species